rnacentral:rRNA from 1 species
GAUGAACGCUAGCGGCAGGCUUAAUACAUGCAAGUUGAGGGGCAGCAUGAUAUACGCGAGUAUAUUGAUGGCGACCGGCGGACGGGUGAGUAAUAGGUAGGAGACCUACCUCAUACAGGGGGAUAGCAUAGAGAAAUCUGUGGUAAUACCCCAUGAGGUUAUAUGAAUAGAGGCAUAUAAUCAAAGCAUAAGUGAUUAUGCGGUAUGAGAGGGGCCUACUGACCAUUAGCUAGUUGGUGAGGUAAGGGCUCACCAAGGCGAAGAUGGUUAGGGGUUUUGAGAGAGAGACCCCCCACAUUGGAACUGAGAGACGGUCCAGACUCCUACGGGAGGCAGCAGUAGGGAAUAUUGGGCAAUGGGCGAAAGCCUGACCCAGCCAUGCCGCGUGAAGGAAGACGGCCUUAUGGGUUGUAAACUUCUUUACUACGCGAAUAGAGGUUAGUACGAGAUACUAAUAGGAAGGUAGUGUAGUAAAAAGCACCGGCUAAACUCCGUG